rnacentral:misc_RNA from 1 species
GAUGAAGAACGUAGCGAAAUGCGAUACUUGGUGUGAAUUGCAGAAUCCCGUGAACCAUCGAGUCUUUGAACGCAAGUUGCGCCCGAAGCCACUAGGCCGAGGGCACGCCUGCCUGGGCGUCACACGCCGUUGCCCCCCCAUCUACUCCUUCGGGAUUGCGGGGGGGCGGAUGAUGGCCUCCCGUGCGCCUAGCCGCGCGGUUGGCAUAAAUACCAAGUCCUCGGCGACGCACGCCACGACAAUCGGUGGUUGCGAAACCUCGGUUGCCCGUCGUGUGCGUUCGUCGCGCAUCGAGGGCUCGAAAAAAUGCUCGGCUCCGGCUGGGCUUUCAACGCGACCCCAGGUCAGGUGGGGUUACCCGCUGAAUUUAAGCAUAUCAAUAAGCGGAGGA